rnacentral:rRNA from 1 species
UACAGAGGGGGCUAGCGUUGUUCGGAAUUACUGGGCGUAAAGGGCGCGUAGGUGGCCUGUUAAGUCGAACGUGAAAUCCCCGGGCUCAACCCGGGAACUGCGUCCGAUACUGGAGGGCUCGAAUCCGGGAGAGGGAUGUGGAAUUCCAGGUGUAGCGGUGAAAUGCGUAGAUAUCUGGAGGAACACCGGUGGCGAAGGCGACAUCCUGGACCGGUAUUGACGCUGAGGCGCGAAAGCCAGGGGAGCAAACGGG